UACGUAGGGGGCAAGCGUUGUCCGGAUUUAUUGGGCGUAAAAAGCUCGUAGGCGGCUCGUCCAGUCGGACGUGAAAUCUCCCGGCUUAACUGGGAGAGGUCGUUCGAUACUAGCGGGCUUGAGGCCGGUAGAGGGAAGCGGAAUUCCGGGUGUAGUGGUGGAAUACGUAGAUAUCCGGAGGAACACCAGUGGCGAAGGCGGCUUCCUGGACCGGUUCUGACACUGAGGAGCGAAAGCGUGGGGAGCGAUCCGG
rnacentral:rRNA from 1 species